GCCCAGGCACAUUGUUUUAUUGAAGGUCUCCUCGGAGGAAAAGACUAGGCGCCGAGAUGUGCUGGCCUUCCUUUAUGGUCCAGACCAGUUGUUUUCAUCAAGGGAGCAUUGAGAUAGCCCUACACCUCGGAAGAAGUACCCAUAAAAGAAUUUUAGAUAUAAUAAAGAGCUAUUACAAUUUCA